GACGAACCGAGCGAACGUUGUUCGGAAUCACUGGGCUUAAAGGGCGCGUAGGCGGGUGAUCAAGUCCGGGGUGAAAUCCUCCAGCGCAACUGGAGAACUGCCUCGGACACUGGUUGCCUCGAGGAAGGUAGGGGUGUGUGGAACGUUCAGUGGAGCGGUGAAAUGCAUUGAUAUUGAACGGAACUCCGGUGGCGAAGGCGACACCCUGGACCUUUUCUGACGCUGAGGCGCGACAGCUAGGGGAGCAAACGGG
rnacentral:rRNA from 1 species